rnacentral:rRNA from 1 species
CCCUUAGAUGUUCUGGGCUGCACGCGCGCUACACUGAUGCGCUCAACGAGUUUUAACCUUGCCUGGAAAGGUUGGGUAAUCUUUUUAAAACGCAUCGUGAUGGGGAUAGAUUAUUGCAAUUAUUAAUCUUCAACGAGGAAUUCCUAGUAAGCGCGAGUCAUCAGCUCGUGCUGAUUACGUCCCUGCCCUUUGUACACACCGCCCGUCGCCCCUACCGAUUGAGUGAUCCGGUGAAUAAUUCGGACUGCAGCAGGCCUGGUCUCCGGGUUUUGCAGCGGAAAGUUUAGUGAACCUUAUCACUUAGAGGAAGGAGAAGUCGUAACA